AGAGUUUGAUUAUGGCUCAGGAUGAACGCUAGCGAUAGGCCUAACACAUGCAAGUCGAGGGGCAGCACAUGAGUAGCAAUACGAUGGUGGCGACCGGCGCACGGGUGAGUAACACGUAUGCAACCUACCUUUAACAGGGGAAUAACCCGUUGAAAAACGGACUAAUACUCCAUAACACAGGGGUCCCGCAUGGGAAUAUUUGUUAAAGAUUAAUCGGUUGAAGAUGGGCAUGCGUUCCAUUAGCUUGUUGGUGAGGUAACGGCUCACCAAGGCCACGAUGGAUAGGGGAACUGAGAGGUUUAUCCCCCACACUGGAACUGAGACACGGUCCAGACUCCUACGGGAGGCAGCAGUGAGGAAUAUUGGUCAAUGGAGGCAACUCUGAACCAGCCAAGUCGCGUGAAGGAUGAAGGUCUUAUGGAUUGUAAACUUCUUUUGCAAGGGAAUAAAGUGGGGGACGUGUCCUCCUUUGCAUGUACCUUGCGAAUAAGGAUCGGCUAACUCCGUGCCAGCAGCUGC
rnacentral:rRNA from 1 species